rnacentral:misc_RNA from 1 species
UCGAGUUUUGAACGGGUUGUUGCUGGCCUCAUACGGGGCAUGUGCACGCCUGACUUCAUCCACUCUUCAACCCCUGUGCACUUAUUGUAGGCUAGCGUGAAAGGUCGCAUUCAUUUGCGGCUGGAAGCCUGUCUACGCUUUACUACAAACGCUUCAGUUAUAGAAUGUUUAUCUGCGUAUAACGCAUUUAUAUA